CCUACGGGAGGCAGCAGUGGGGAAUAUUGCACAAUGGGGGAAACCCUGAUGCAGCGACGCCGCGUGAGUGAAGAAGUAUUUCGGUACGUAAAGCUCUAUCAGCAGGGAAGAAAAUGACGGUACCUGACUAAGAAGCCCCGGCUAACUACGUGCCAGCAGCCGCGGUAAUACGUAGGGGGCAAGCGUUAUCCGGAUGUACUGGGUGUAAAGGGAGCGUAGACGGCAGCGCAAGUCUGGAGUGAAAUCCCAUGGCUUAACCAUGGAACUGCUUUGGAAACUGUGCAGCUAGAGUGCAGGAGAGGUAAGCGGAAUGCCUAGUGUAGCGGUGAAAUGCGUAGAUAUUAGGAGGAACACCAGUGGCGAAGGCGGCUUACUGGACUGUAACUGACGUUGAGGCUCGAAAGCGUGGGGAGCAAACAGGAUUAGAUACCCUAGUAGUC
rnacentral:rRNA from 1 species